GAGUAUCCUAAGGCCCGCGAGAGAACUGUUGUUAAGGAACUCGGCAAAAUGACCCCGUAACUCAGGGAUAAGGGGUGCCACCAUCUGGUGGCCGCAGAGAAUAGGCCCAAGCGACCGUUUACCAACAACAUAGGUUUCUGCUAAGUCGCAAGACGAUGUAUAGGAGCUGACGCCCGCCCGGGGCUGGAAGGUUAAGGGGAUCUGUUAGAGCAA
rnacentral:rRNA from 1 species